rnacentral:rRNA from 1 species
AUACAACAACCUGCCAAUAGUCCUGAUUUGAAUGUGCUUGACCUUGGGGUUUUCAACUCGCUGCAAUCCCUGACAGAUUGUCUGAGUCCUAAAACACUACAAGACCUUAUUAAUGGUGUUUUGGAGGAAUUUGAAGGCUAUGAGGUUUACAAGCUCAACAAAAUUUUCCUAACUCUGCAAACGUGCAUGAUUGAGAUCCUGAACCAUGCUGGGGGCAAUGGGUAUAAAAUACCACAUGUGAACAAGGAAAGACUUGAGGGUCUUGGGCAGCUACCUCCAAGACUGUCGUGCCCUCAAGAGGUUUACGCAAAUGCCCUACACAACUUAGGGCUAAUGGAGAGGGUUCAGUGA